GACAGAGGCCUCAAGCGUUAGGCGGAAUCACUGGGCUUAAAGCGUGUGUAGGCGGAUCGUUAAGUACCUUGUGAAAUCCCACGGCUCACCCGUGGAACUGCUGGGUAUACUGGCGGUCUUGGGCCAACUAGGGGCAGCUGGAACAAGCGGUGGAGCGGUGAAAUGCGUAGAUGUCGCUUGGAACGCUGAAGGUGAAAACAGGCUGCUGGGGUUGUGCCGACGCUGAGACACGAAAGCCAGGGGAGCAAACGGG
rnacentral:rRNA from 1 species